UUGGAUCAGGUGUCACAGCGA
rnacentral:siRNA from 1 species